rnacentral:rRNA from 1 species
UACCAGCACCCCGAGUGGUCGGGACGUUUAUUGGGCCUAAAGCAUCCGUAGCCGGUUCUACAAGUCUUCCGUUAAAUCCAACUGCUUAACAGGUGGGCUGCGGAAGAUACUAUAGAGCUAGGAGGCGGGAGAGGCAAGCGGUACUCGAUGGGUAGGGGUAAAAUCCGUUAUCCAUUGAAGACCACCAGUGGCGAAGGCGGCUUGCCAGAACGCGCUCGACGGUGAGGGAUGAAAGCUGGGGGAGCAAACCGG